UACGGAGGUGGCAAGCGUUGCUCGGAAUCACUGGGCGUAAAGGGCGCGUAGGCGGGGGAGGUAAGUCGGGUGUGAAAUCCCUCGGCCCAACCGAGGAACUGCGCCCGAGACUGCUUCUCUUGAGUCCCGGAGAGGAAGGUGGAAUUCCCGGUGUAGCGGUGAAAUGUGUAGAGAUCGGGAGGAACACCGGUGGCGAAGGCGGCCUUCUGGACGGUGACUGACGCUGAGGCGCGAAAGCUAGGGGAGCAAACAGG
rnacentral:rRNA from 1 species